rnacentral:misc_RNA from 1 species
UAAUAAGUAGUUUUAUGGCACUUUUUAAAUCCAUAUCCACCUUGUGUGCAAUGUCAGUCGAUCUUCUUCAUGGAGAUCUGACCAAACAUCAACCUUUAUCUUUUAACAUCUUUGUCUGAAAAAUAUUAUGAAUAAACAAUUCAAAAUA